rnacentral:rRNA from 1 species
AUAAUGGGUCAGCGACUUAUAUUCUGUAGCAAGGUUAACCGAAUAGGGGAGCCGAAGGGAAACCGAGUCUUAACUGGGCGUUAAGUUGCAGGGUAUAGACCCGAAACCCGGUGAUCUAGCCAUGGGCAGGUUGAAGGUUGGGUAACACUAACUGGAGGACCGAACCGACUAAUGUUGAAAAAUUAGCGGAUGACUUGUGGCUGGGGGUGAAAGGCCAAUCAAACCGGGAGAUAGCUGGUUCUCCCCGAAAGCUAUUUAGGUAGCGCCUCGUGAAUUCAUCUCCGGGGGUAGAGCACUGUUUCGGCAAGGGGGUCAUCCCGACUUACCAACCCGAUGCAAACUGCGAAUACCGGAGAAUGUUAUCACGGGAGACACACGGCGGGUGCUAACGUCCGUCGUGAAGAGGGAAACAACCCAGACCGCCAGCUAAGGUCCCAAAGUCAUGGUUAAGUGGGAAACGAUGUGGGAAGGCCCAGACAGCCAGGAUGUUGGCUUAGAAGCAGCCAUCAUUUAAAGAAAGCGUAAUAGCUCACUGGUCGAGUCGGCCUGCGCGGAAGAUGUAACGGGGCUAAACCAUGCACCGAAGCUGCGGCAGCGACGCUUAUGCGUUGUUGGGUAGGGGAGCGUUCUGUAAGCCUGCGAAGGUGUGCUGUGAGGCAUGCUGGAGGUAUCAGAAGUGCGAAUGCUGACAUAAGUAACGAUAAAGCGGGUGAAAAGCCCGCUCGCCGGAAGACCAAGGGUUCCUGUCCAACGUUAAUCGGGGCAGGGUGAGUCGACCCCUAAGGCGAGGCCGAAAGGCGUAGUCGAUGGGAAACAGGUUAAUAUUCCUGUACUUGGUGUUACUGCGAAGGGGGGACGGAGAAGGCUAUGUUGGCCGGGCGACGGUUGUCCCGGUUUAAGCGUGUAGGCUGGUUUUCCAGGCAAAUCCGGAAAAUCAAGGCUGAGGCGUGAUGACGAGGCACUACGGUGCUGAAGCAACAAAUGCCCUGCUUCCAGGAAAAGCCUCUAAGCAUCAGGUAACAUCAAAUCGUACCCCAAACCGACACAGGUGGUCAGGUAGAGAAUACCAAGGCGCUUGAGAGAACUCGGGUGAAGGAACUAGGCAAAAUGGUGCCGUAACUUCGGGAGAAGGCACGCUGAUAUGUAGGUGAAGUCCCUCGCGGAUGGAGCUGAAAUCAGUCGAAGAUACCAGCUGGCUGCAACUGUUUAUUAAAAACACAGCACUGUGCAAACACGAAAGUGGACGUAUACGGUGUGACGCCUGCCCGGUGCCGGAAGGUUAAUUGAUGGGGU